ACAGCAGCAGCCGCGGGAAUACAGAGGGUGCGAGCGUUAAUCGGAUUUACUGGGCGUAAAGCGUGCGUAGGCGGCUUUUUAAGUCGGAUGUGAAAUCCCUGAGCUUAACUUAGGAAUUGCAUUCGAUACUGGGAAGCUAGAGUAUGGGAGAGGAUGGUAGAAUUCCAGGUGUAGCGGUGAAAUGCGUAGAGAUCUGGAGGAAUACCGAUGGCGAAGGCAGCCAUCUGGCCUAAUACUGACGCUGAGGUACGAAAGCAUGGGGAGCAAACAGGAUUAGAUACCCGCGUAGUCCCUGUCUCUUAUAA
rnacentral:rRNA from 1 species